UUGAUAUGAUAAGGAAAAUAUUUUAAAUUUCGAUGAAUAUAUUAUUGAAAUUUACGUAAAUAUAAAUUUGAUUGUAUUUUGUUUACUGUUGUGCUGAUUGUUAAAAACGUUUUGUAACUGAUGUAAACAUAUGAGUACAUUGUUCUUUAAAUCGUGCUAUUUCGUUAAUUUUUCAGAGUAAAACACGGCAAUUCAGUUUAAAUUUUGUAAAAAAACAAGCAGGUUCUUGCUCGAUUGCGGACAGUGCGCUUGCGCUUUCUUUACCCGUGGGUGAGGUAGUGUAAUGAAAUAGAAAGAUUUCAUAUGUUGUUUUUAAAUUGAAAAGUUAUAGUAAUAACGAUGUCUUCAUCUGAAAUAAAUUUGAGAGUAACUGGUCAAAGUAGUCAGGGUGGACGAAAGUAUAUGGAAGAUGCCUUUGUUGUCGCAUAUCAACAUACAGAAGAUAAAAAUGAUUUGGAAUAUGCAUUUUUUGGAAUUUUUGAUGGCCAUGGUGGUAAGGAGGCUGCUCAAUAUGCAAAAAAUAAUUUGUUGGAUAAUAUCGUGACCCUUAAACACUUUUGGGAAGAGGAUGAUGAAAUGAUAUUGAGUGCUAUUAGAGACGGUUUUUUAGCUACUCACAUGGCUAUGUGGAAAGAAGUUGAUAAGUGGCCAAAAACUGCUUCGGGUCUUCCAAGCACAGCUGGUACUACAGCAAGUGUUGCAUUUAUUCGUAAAGGAAAACUGUAUACUGGCCAUGUUGGAGAUUCAAGGAUAGUUAUUGGAUUAAAAGAACGAGAUAUGGAUGCUUGGCAAGCAGAGAGUCUCACAAUUGAUCAUAAGCCAGAAUCACCUCAAGAGAAGCAGAGAAUUAUUGAAUCUGGUGGAUUGGUUAUGAACAAAUCUGGCGUUGAAAGAGUUGUUUGGAAAAGACCACGCCCAGGCCACGAAGGACCUAUUUUACGUAGCACAGAUUUUGAAAAGAUACCAUUCCUUGCUGUUGCACGAUCCUUAGGUGAUUUAUGGAGCUACGAUCAUUUACAACAAGAGUUUGCUGUUAGUCCUGAACCUGAUCUUGGAGUAAUGAAUCUUGAUCUCAAAAAGGAUAAAUGUUUAAUUCUUGCAUCUGAUGGAUUGUGGAACAUUAUGUCUCCCCAAGCUGCUGUUCAUUUAGUGCAAGAUGUGGAAAAUGAAAAUAGGAAGCUGAUAACAAAAUUUGGAAUCUCAGAAAAUAUACAUUUGACUCUGUGCAAUCCGUCUAAAGUACUGGUCGAUUGUGCUCUGGAAAGAUGGAACCAACUUCAAACCAGGGCUGACAAUGUUAGUGUGGUUACAGUGAUGCUGGAUCAAACAAAAUCCUCAGAAGAUGAAGUACUUAAGGAGCAGCUUAUACUUAAAAUGAAUUAUCCUGGUAGUUUGCAGGUUUGGGAUGUCGGUCUCCGCUCCAAAGGGUCAGUUUCCGAGUCUUGUGACAGUGCGGAAUCUACGGCUAGUGCUGCCACAGCAGAGGAAAGUGCAGACAAUAAUUUAGAAGGUGUCUCAUCUUUGCCUCAAAUUUUAAUAGAUUCAGACAAUGAUCAAUCAUCUCUACCUGAUCUUCUAGACGAAACACCGAGCUGUCAUAGCAAUAGUGAAAGACUAACCAAUAGUCCAUUGCAGUCUUGUUCUAAUUUUCUUCCAGAAUACUUCGCAAAAGCAUCGAGAAAACUGGAUGCUGAUGGGAUAGAAAAUAGUCCAUGUGCCAUUCCUCGUUGGAGCAAAAAUCCUUCUGGGCGUACCAGUCUUUCUACGCUUGUGACGUGGAGCAAGGUCGUUAGUUGCAGGCGUAUGAGUGACCCCUUUCCCUAUUCAAAUUUAGAUGUCGGAUGUUCUGCAAAGGAAGAUGGGGAGUGUUUUUCGGAUGAAGAAAACAACGAAAGCUUGAACAGGGAUGUGGAAUGUUUAGGUUCUGUUCACUGUGAAGAAAUGGGGUUUGAUAGAGACACUUGUGAAGAAGAUAUCCCGUGCACUUGUAGUAAAAUGUACAGUAGUUCCAGUGCUGUUUUGAAUCGUCAUAGUUUGAAAGUAACUUUAAAUCAGCUAAGUAGCUUAGUUAAGUCUGCUAGUACUUAUUCUAUCAAAAGGAAAUAUUCUAGCACUGAAACUUUGCAAUCAAGUGUGAGCACAAGUGAGUUAAGUGAUGAAGGCAACAGUUCCCAAAAAAGAAGAGCCUGCACAAGAUCUUCUAUAUUUCAUCCUACUGAACAACCCGACAUUUUAAGCUAAAAUAUGUAGGAAUAGUUAGUUUGGUUUUAAACAGAUAUUUAAUAUAUAUAUAAUCAUUAUUUUCUAUAAUGUGUGAUGUGUAUGUCAAUAUUUGUAUGUUAUGUCUUGGUGAUUUUUGUUGUGGGGAACGUAUUUUAAAAAUGGUGAAAUUUUAGCUAAAAUUUGUAUAUCUUAUUUGUGUAUGAAAACUAUGCCAGAGAAACGUGUCCAAAGGUUAAGCUUAAAUAAUUUCCAGUUAUCUCUUUCUACUUAACCCCUUGAUUGCUGCGAGUGUUUAUAUAUACGCUUUGCUAAGCCAAUGCAUUAACUGCCCCUGGCUUAUGUAUAUGCCUUUCUUAAGUACACAUUGCUUUUUGCCAUGCGCUGCUGUCAGUAAAACUACUCUCACAGCUUUGGAGUGCAAUAUAAUGACCGUGAGAGUGCUUUUAAAGAAUUUCAGACAGGAGGAAAAGGGAGAUGGGGAAGUUUCUGGAAAGUAAAUCACAGCUGUGCGGUUAUUGCUUGUGUUUCUUUUGAGUAGUACAUGCUUUUUUACUUGCCCUUCUCUUCCAUUUUUGUUUCUGUAUGUAAUAAUGGUUUUUAUUUUUUGUGCAAACGUGUCUGAGAGUGAAUUAGAUAACUAUUUUUCUUCAUCCAGAAACUUUAGAGUGAUAUUACUUCAGAUGAAGAGGACUCUGAUUGUGACUAAUAGUUAUAAUUAAAUUUUGUAUUUUCUUUUUUUUUCUUUCUUGUAAAAGUAAAUAGGUAUUAGAUUGAAAAGCGUGCCUUUUCUUUUUCUCCAAUACACAUCAAAACUAUGCGUGUCUCUUUGGAAACUGGUGUCAAUGGGGGAAGGGGGUGAAUCUCAAAGCUUUCUCGGCACACCAGGGGUUAAAGCACAAAUAGAUGAAAACUAUUAUUUAUAUUAACUAAGCAUUCAAUUUUAUAACAAAAUAGUAAGUAAGAUGAGCAUAAACUAUUAGACAUGUGAGUGUAAUUUGAUUUGUACCACAGUAAACAGAGUCGUUAAUUAUUUUCAAAAUAGAAAACAAAAUAAAUCAUAAGGCUCUUUUCUAUCAAAAGCAACCUUAUUCAUCCCUUUCUCAAGUCAAUAACUUGGAAGGAAAUCAAGUUAGUUUUUUAGAAACAUUUUAAAUAGUUGGAAAUAAAUAAUAAAGUAAAAGUUUAUAUCAAAUGUAAAAUUUUUAAUGAGGUAAAUAUAGUUUUAUCUCAUGUUAGAAUUGAUGAGAUAUUUGUUAAAAACUUUGUAAAAUGUCCCUCGAUAAUUGCUAUUAUAUAAAAUUGUCUUCAUUUAGCUGUUUUUGUAUUUUUUUCUUCUUAAGUUCACUUUUCUGACUUAUAUUGAGAAAAUGUAUUUAUUUUUACUAUUUUAUGACUUAUUGUUUCGUGUCUUGAAAUUUUUUUAUUUUAUUAAAUGCAUUGAAUUUAAUACUAUCUUCAAGUGAUAGACUAGUUAUUUAUGAAUUUUUGUAGAUAUAGUUUGUUUUUGUAUCAUUUUCAGUUUUUUAUAAAUUGUAUGGAUGUAAAUGCGUCGUGCAAUUUAGAAAUCAGCUUAUUCACAAUGUGUGUUUUUGUUUGUAGGAAAGAAAUUCUUUUCGAUCUCCAUAGCUCCUAUUAGAAAAUACUGAAUACUUCAUGUUCAUUUUCCAAUAUUUAUAUAUCAUAUUUUUUAAUCUCAUAGCACAUCAUUAAUUUUUAACAUUAAAUUUAAAUUAGUUGUUGAAUAAUUAGUUAUUCAUUCAAUUUAGAUUUUUUUUAUGGAUUAACAUUUCAACAUACGAGAAGUUUAUUUUAUAAUAGAUUUUGAAGAGAAUCUUCUUUCGCGCAUUAUUUUCUACUAUCGUAAUAAGUAAUUAUAUGAUAAAGAAAUUAGCUAGAUAAAAAGUUAUUAAGGAUAACUCAGUGCUGGACUAUUAUGUUUUUAGUAAAAAUGUUAAAGCCAAAUUAUUUAUAUUUAUUUUACCAAUAAAUGGUUUAAUUACUUAUAGUAAACAAAUUCUUUAAGUCUAAGCAAAUUUUCUAUAAAAUAAGUGCAUGGCUUGUAUUGAUUGAAUAUUACUUAUUAGUGAAAUCAUAUAUAUAAUGAACUUUAUUUUAUCAUUGAAUAGAUAUAACAAUUAUCCUGAAUUUGAAUUCCAGAUAACUCAUUAAUAUUUUCUUGCAACUGUUGAAUAUUAGACAAAAAAAAAAUGUGUAAUGUUGCCAGUAUUAGAGAAGUGCAAAGGUUACAAUUCAUUGUGUCUUGUCUGUAAUUUUAAAUAAAUUUAUUCAAUUUUU
rnacentral:misc_RNA from 1 species